rnacentral:lncRNA from 1 species
GUGGGAGGGAAGGGAGUUACUCCUCUGAAGUGUAGGAAGAACAUAGAAAAGGGAAAUGCUCUGGGAGAUAAAAGAACAGGACCUAGAGCAGCGCAUGGAGAAAACACAGGGAAAAGAGGAAGCAGGUGGCAUCACUGGUGACAGUGUCCUGCUGUGCUGUGUCUUCCUGUGGUUGGUCUACCAUUUUCCUGGCAUGUGUGCGCAUGCACUGUCUGAAAGCUGGGGACAUUGGCUGAGGAUUCAGCACUCAGGUCCUCUAUCUUGGGAAUGUUUGAGCUCCAUGACUGUUCUUUGUGAUUUGUAAAUUGUUUUCAUUAGAAAUAUAUUCAUUUCUAUGUGCUUUUGUUAAAAAUUUUAGACUUUUAUUAGGAACUCAUGAUGAGGUCAUGUUGUGUCAGGUUGCACCACAUCUCACUUCAAUCUGAUUUAGUAUGUCCUAAAGCAACACCUUGUACUACAGAUAGGUCAUAACUACAUUACUUCCAUGUGAUCAGAUGUGACUACCAAAACUCUUGGGAUGAUACAUCCUCCCACUUUACCAGUUAAAAAAAUUUUCCAUGUAACAGAGGAAUGAAACAAAGUCCUAUUUUGGAUAUCUUUUGAUGCACAUUCACAAUCAGCAUUAAUGGAUCCCAACAGGAAAAGGCUGAAAUGACUUCUACAAUGAAAACACAGCUACUGAUAGUGUCAUUUUCCCUGAUAGUAAAAUCCAG